UACGUAGGGUGCGAGCGUUGUCCGGAAUUAUUGGGCGUAAAGGGCUCGUAGGCGGUUUGUUGCGUCGGGAGUGAAAACUCAGGGCUUAACCCUGAGCCUGCUUCCGAUACGGGCAGACUAGAGGUAUGCAGGGGAGAACGGAAUUCCUGGUGUAGCGGUGAAAUGCGUAGAUAUCGGGAGGAACACCAGUGGCGAAGGCGAUCACCUGGGGUUGUUCUGACGCUGAGGAGCGAAAGCUAGGGGAGCAAACGGG
rnacentral:rRNA from 1 species